CAUUCAGUAGCAUAGUGGUUAGCGCACAGCCCCGGAAAGGUUGAGACGCGGGUUCGAAUCCCGCCUGAUGU
rnacentral:tRNA from 1 species